AUAAGUUAUUCAGCAAUAACUAGUAGGCUGCUUGAUGGCUAAGCCCUUGUUUGGUUGGGGGUUAAGGGGUGGAAUAACCCCUUAACUCCCAUUUUAUUCCCAAACAUUCCAAAAAAUCAGUGGGGUUAGCUAAUCCCACCUAACCCCACCUCAAAUAAAUUAUUCCGGGUUAGCUAACCCCAUCUAACCCCACCAAACUCCAACCAAACACUAUUUUCUAUUCAUAAUAACCCACUAUCUUUCUUAUCACACCUACUCCAACCAAUCAUUAUCCUUCUUUAUCAAUCAUUAUCUUUUUAUCCCACCUACUCCAACCAAACACUAUUUUUCAUUAUUCUAGACUAACUCUAACCUCCGACCAAACACAAAAAAACUUUAACCCCACUUUAACCCUGAACUUAACCCUAUCCCUGAAAUAGCUACUUUUUCCUUAACCCCGAACCAAACGGAGGCUAAGGGUUUGGUGGUUGGUAUUGGAGAUCUCAAGUUCGAAUUCUAGCUGAUUCAUAUUUCCAACUAAGUUUAUUUCUAAAAAAAAUAAUCGAAGGGGUAGCAUACUAUCUUUCUCUCUAAAAAAAUAAAAUAAAAAUAGUAGGCUGCUUUUAAUUGUAUAUUGUAAAGCCAUAAUAAUGAUGAAUUUUUUUAGAAUAUUAUAUUUUAUCUGCUAAAUAAUUUAUAGACAUGUAAUUAGGCUCCCUCUCAAUCAAUUAUUUUAAGAUCUUUUAGUAAACAGGAGGAGGGAAAAAAGUAUCAAAGGGAUCUAAAUGAUUACAUGCANUAAUUAC
rnacentral:lncRNA from 1 species